rnacentral:misc_RNA from 1 species
AAAGUCGUAACAAGGUUUCCGUAGGUGAACCUGCGGAAGGAUCAUUAUUGAAUUUUAAUGAAGAGUUUGGUUGUAGCUGGCCCAUUCAUUUGGGCAUGUGCACACCUUUCUCUUUCAUCCCACACACACCUGUGAACCUGUGAGACAGAUGGGGAAUUUACUUGUUGCUUUUUGGAAUACAAAGGCAAUAGGUUAUUGGACCCUCUGUCUACUCAAUUAAUAUAAACUCAAUUUAUUUUAAAACGAAUGUAAUGGAUGUAACACAUCUCAUACUAAGUUUCAACAACGGAUCUCUUGGCUCUC